UACGGAGGGAGCGAGCGUUGUUCGGAAUCACUGGGCGUAAAGGGUGCGUAGGCGGAUUAACAAGUCAGGAGUGAAAUCCCCAGGCUUAACCUGGGAACUGCUUUUGAUACUGUUAUUCUAGAGUUUGGUAGAGGUUGGCGGAAUUCCUAGUGUAGAGGUAAAAUUCGUAGAUAUUAGGAGGAACACCAGUGGCGUAGGCGGCCAACUGGACCAUUACUGACGCUGAGGCACGAAAGCGUGGGGAGCAAACAGG
rnacentral:rRNA from 1 species